UCUUUGAUGGUCCAACGGUCAAGAUUUCCGCUUGUCAUUCAUGACAAACCGCGGGAGAUCGGGGUUCGACUCCCCGUCAGAGAG